CUCAGUUUACCAGUAUAUGUGUAAGCUAGGUCAUCUAAUGAUACAUUAUCAGAGUUUAUGAGGCUAGAAACACCCCAGUAUCGUCUAAAAUAGGUCAUCUAAUGAUACAUUAACAGAGUUUAUGAGGCUAGAAACACCCCAGUAUCGUCUAAAAUAGGUCAUCUAAUGAUACAUUAACAGAGUUUAUGAGGCUAGAAACACCCCAGUAUCGUCUAAAAUAGGUCAUCUAAUGAUACAUUAACACAGUUUAUGAGGCUAGAAACACCCCAGUAUCGUCUAAAAUAGGUCAUCUAAUGAUACAUUAACAGAGUUUAUGAGGCUAGAAACACCCCAGUAUCGUCUAAAAUAGGUCAUCUAAUGAUACAUUAACACAGUUUACGAGGCUAGAAACACCCCAGUAUCGUCUAAAAUAGGUCAUCUAAUGAUACAUUAACACAGUUUAUGAGGCUAGAAACACCCCAGUAUCGUCUAAAAUAGGUCAUCUAAUGAUACAUUAACAGAGUUUAUGAGGCUAGAAACACCCCAGUAUCGUCUAAAAUAGGUCAUCUAAUGAUACAUUAACACAGUUUAUGAGGCUAGAAACACCCCAGUAUCGUCUAAAAUAGGUCAUCUAAUGAUACAUUAACACAGUUUAUGAGGCUAGAAACACCCCAGUAUCGUCUAAAAUAGGUCAUCUAAUGAUACAUUAACAGAGUUUAUGAGGCUAGAAACACCCCAGUAUCGUCUAAAAUAGGUCAUCUAAUGAUACAUUAACAGAGUUUAUGAGGCUAGAAACACCCCAGUAUCGUCUAAAAUAGGUCAUCUAAUGAUACAUUAACAGAGUUUAUGAGGCUAGAAACACCCCAGUAUCGUCUAAAAUAGGUCAUCUAAUGAUACAUUAACAGAGUUUAUGAGGCUAGAAACACCCCAGUAUCGUCUAAAAUAGGUCAUCUAAUGAUACAUUAACACAGUUUAUGAGGCUAGAAACACCCCAGUAUCGUCUAAAAUAGGUCAUCUAAUGAUACAUUAACAGAGUUUAUGAGGCUAGAAACACCCCAGUAUCGUCUAAAAUAGGUCAUCUAAUGAUACAUUAACACAGUUUAUGAGGCUAGAAACACCCCAGUAUCGUCUAAAAUAGGUCAUCUAAUGAUACAUUAACACAGUUUAUGAGGCUAGAAACACCCCAGUAUCGUCUAAAAUAGGUCAUCUAAUGAUACAUUAACACAGUUUAUGAGGCUAGAAACACCCCAGUAUCGUCUAAAAUAGGUCAUCUAAUGAUACAUUAACACAGUUUAUGAGGCUAGAAACACCCCAGUAUCGUCUAAAAUAGGUCAUCUAAUGAUACAUUAACACAGUUUAUGAGGCUAGAAACACCCCAGUAUCGUCUAAAAUAGGUCAUCUAAUGAUACAUUAACAGAGUUUAUGAGGCUAGAAACACCCCAGUAUCGUCUAAAAUAGGUCAUCUAAUGAUACAUUAACAGAGUUUAUGAGGCUAGAAACACCCCAGUAUCGUCUAAAAUAGGUCAUCUAAUGAUACAUUAACAGAGUUUAUGAGGCUAGAAACACCCCAGUAUCGUCUAAAAUAGGUCAUCUAAUGAUACAUUAACAGAGUUUAUGAGGCUAGAAACACCCCAGUAUCGUCUAAAAUAGGUCAUCUAAUGAUACAUUAACACAGUUUAUGAGGCUAGAAACACCCCAGUAUCGUCUAAAAUAGGUCAUCUAAUGAUACA